rnacentral:lncRNA from 1 species
AUGGCAAAAGCUGACAGCUCCUCAGCCCGAGGCUCCUUCAGACGUGGAAAACCACCAUGCACGAAGCCCUUCCAGAGCACAGCCAAAGAUGGGGGCCCCCACCCCUCCGUGCCGGGAAUCGUGCAGCCCAGACCCUGCCAUCCCAAGCAGAGCCUGUGGGCCUGCCUGUGCCCCCAGCUAAUGGCAGCCGAAUGGGAUGACGGCAACGUGGGACUCGGGUCUGGGCCAUCUGUGCUCAGGCUGGUGGCGGCAUGGCCUGCAGAGCGCAGGAGGCAGCCUCCGCCAGAGGGAAGAAGCGAGACGGGGGCUUGGAAGGGGAACUCUUGCAGAAAGUCAUCCUGGAGACGCCGGCCUGCAGUCCCCGAAGGUGCUCCUCAGGUGCCUCCACCCCAGCCCUGGGGCCUCCGGCUGCUGCCCUUAGAACAAGGUGCAUCUUACCCAGAACGUGACCCACUGUUGGUGACCAAGAAGCCACCACAGCCUGACCCCAGCUUCCUCAUCCCUUGCCUCCCUCCAGGUGGCACUGCUCUCCCCACUCUCACUGUCACAGGCACCCAAGAGAGGGUGGAAGGUGGCAGAGAUGGGGGGUCAUGGCACCUGUCACAGGCCCCAGCUGGCUGUGUGGCCCCACAGGCCCCUGGUGUCUCUGAGCCUGUCUCCAGCUUUAAGCUCCCGUACGUAUGGACCGACUGCCUCCGCCUCUCAGGACACGCUGCCAAGCUGCAGGAAAGCCGGUGCAGGCUGCAAAGGCCUCAUCGGUGCUGCCACUCCCGUGCCCUGGCAGAUGCUUCAGCCUUUGGGGAUGCCUCUCCUUUCACCUCCAAAAGUCCUGCCGCUGAUCCAACAAUCACAGUCACACUUCCCAGCAGUUCCCAAGCCCUGAGCUUCCCAUACCAGAUUCUGAACACACCUCCGCAUCCCACAGAACCCCCAAGGAGCCUACCGAGAGGAAGGUCAGUGAAGAUUCACGUGAGCAGAGAUGUCCAACAGGCAGGCGUGCAGGGAAGAGGGGCAGGGGAGGAAGAGGCCGGGACGGAGGGUGGGCCUGAGCCAGACACCCUCGUGGGCGACUGCAACUGGAUCCUGCCCGGGAGCUCUGGGACCCACCAUGAAAGACAUGCGUUCGAGGUCCACCCACAGGAGGGAUCUGGGGUAUUUAUACACCAGCUCCCACGGACAUGA